rnacentral:lncRNA from 10 species
UCUACACUGUAUUCUAGACAGUUUCAUCCUCCAAUAGAUUUUCUUGCAAAUUUUUAAUCCAAUGUUACAUUAUUUUUUUAAGUUCUAAAAUGAAGACAGAACAAGAAUUACAGAACAUGUACUUGUCUGUAUUACAUAAUUAAUUAGUGUCCUCUCUCAGAUGCUUGUAGCCCUGAAUCUUAAUCUUCAUUGAGGGUUUACUUUUGUUGACAGUUACAUGUAUAGCUAGCUGAAUAUACGUGGGCUUCCCAGAUUUCCUACCUACCAAUAGUUAGGUGGGAUUAUGGAACUGCUUUUGGCCAGUGGCCAAUGAAUGGAAGUUAUGUGGAUUACUUGCAAAGCCACACAUUUAUGAGCCCGUUUUAGAGACCUUGAAGCAUAUGUAUUGAGAUGCCUGGAUCUCUGAAUCACUAUUUGGAAGUAAGUUGUCCUUAAUAGCUGCUAGGACCACAACAGAUUUAUACGAGAGAGAAAUGAAGUUUUCUAUGUUAAGCCACUGAAGUUUCAAGGCUUGCAAGACCGCUUAUUUUAACCUGACUAAAACAACAAUCACAUGUGUGAGAAAAAGAUAUACACUUUAUUAGGA